AGAGUUUGAUCCUGGCUCAGGAUAAACGCUGGCGGCGUGCCUAAUGCAUGCAAGUCGAACGGGGUCGCUUCGGCGGCUUACGUGGCGGACGGGUGAGGAACACGUGGGCAAUCUGCCGUUGGGUGGGGGGUAGCCGCUGGAAACAGUGGGUAAUUCCGCAUGUGCUUACCAAUCUGUGGGGUUGGUAAGGAAAG
rnacentral:rRNA from 1 species